UUCACUCUCUUUUCAGACUCAGCCCGCCUGCACCCAGGUGAUUAAAAGCUUUUUUGCUCACACAAAGCCUGUUUGAUGGUCUCUUCACACGGACGCGAGUGAAGUUUGGUGCCGUGACUCGGAUCAGGGGCCCUCCCUUGGGAGAUCAAUCCCCUGUCCUCCUGCUUUUUGCUCCAUGAGAAAGAUCCACCUACGACCUCAGGUCCUCAGACCCACCAGCCCAAGGAACAUCUCACCAAUUUUAAAUCGGAGAGAAAACUACAACCCAAGAAGCUUCUACUUCUUCUCUUCUGGAACUCUAUCUGGGGUCUCUGAGUUGCUGAAAAGAAGCCUGACUACCCACCUACACAUGCUAGAGAACAUCUAGACACUCCAUUCCCACCAGUGUGUUAAACAUUGAGCGAGCUGUCUUAGACCAUACUUACUCAUUCACCAGAUGAAUUCCACCUAGUGACUUCAGCUUAUAUCACGUGAAGAAGAAAAAUUGCCAACCUGAGCCCUUUCCAAAUUCCUGAUCCAAAAUCAUUAGAUAAAAUAAAAUGCCAAUUGUUUUAA